GAUGAAGAACGCAGCGAAAUGCGAUAAGUAAUAUGAAUUGCAGAAUUCAGUGAAUCAUCGAAUCUUUGAACGCACAUUGCGCCCGCCAGCAUUCUGGCGGGCAUGCCUGUUCGAGCGUCAUUUCAACCCUCGAGCCCCCCCGGGGGCCUCGGUGUUGGGGGACGGCACACCAGCCGCCCCCGAAAUGCAGUGGCGACCCCGCCGCAGCCUCCCCUGCGUAGUAGCACACACCUCGCACCGGAGCGCGGAGGCGGUCACGCCGUAAAACGCCCAACUUUCUUAGAGUUGACCUCGGAUCAGGUAGGAAUACCCGCUGAACUUAAGCAUAUCAAUAAGCGGAGGA
rnacentral:misc_RNA from 1 species